rnacentral:lncRNA from 1 species
UCUGGAAAGAAAAAGAAGCCACCAAACCACCUUUCCUGGUGCUGAGGAAAAAAAAAAGGAAAAAGGAAAAAAAAAGAUUGUUUGGCGCCAAAAUCCAUUUAUGGUUGUAUCCUUUGUCUAUUUUUAAUAUACUGCCCUAAU